GAGUGGCGAACUGGUGAGUAACACGUGGGAAACCUGCCCAGAAGCGGGGGAUAACACCUGGAAACAGAUGCUAAUACCGCAUAACAACUUGGACCGCAUGGUCCGAGUUUGAAAGAUGGCUUCGGCUAUCACUUUUGGAUGGUCCCGCGGCGUAUUAGCUAGAUGGUGGGGUAACGGCUCACCAUGGCAAUGAUACGUAGCCGACCUGAGAGGGUAAUCGGCCACAUUGGGACUGAGACACGGCCCAAACUCCUACGGGAGGCAGCAGUAGGGAAUCUUCCACAAUGGACGAAAGUCUGAUGGAGCAACGCCGCGUGAGUGAAGAAGGGUUUCGGCUCGUAAAACUCUGUUGUUAAAGAAGAACAUAUCUGAGAGUAACUGUUCAGGUAUUGACGGUAUUUAACCAGAAAGCCACGGCUAACUACGUGCCAGCAGCCGCGGUAAUACGUAGGUGGCAAGCGUUGUCCGGAUUUAUUGGGCGUAAAGCGAGCGCAGGCGGUUUUUUAAGUCUGAUGUGAAAGCCUUCGGCUCAACCGAAGAAGUGCAUCGGAAACUGGGAAACUUGAGUGCAGAAGAGGACAGUGGAACUCCAUGUGUAGCGGUGAAAUGCGUAGAUAUAUGGAAGAACACCAGUGGCGAAGGCGGCUGUCUGGUCUGUAACUGACGCUGAGGCUCGAAAGUAUGGGUAGCAAACAGGAUUAGAUACCCUGGUAGUCCAUACCGUAAACGAUGAAUGCUAAGUGUUGGAGGGUUUCCGCCCUUCAGUGCUGCAGCUAACGCAUUAAGCAUUCCGCCUGGGGAGUACGGCCGCAAGGCUGAAACUCAAAGGAAUUGACGGGGGCCCGCACAAGCGGUGGAGCAUGUGGUUUAAUUCGAAGCUACGCGAAGAACCUUACCAGGUCUUGACAUACUAUGCAAAUCUAAGAGAUUAGACGUUCCCUUCGGGGACAUGGAUACAGGUGGUGCAUGGUUGUCGUCAGCUCGUGUCGUGAGAUGUUGGGUUAAGUCCCGCAACGAGCGCAACCCUUAUUAUCAGUUGCCAGCAUUAAGUUGGGCACUCUGGUGAGACUGCCGGUGACAAACCGGAGGAAGGUGGGGAUGACGUCAAAUCAUCAUGCCCCUUAUGACCUGGGCUACACACGUGCUACAAUGGAUGGUACAACGAGUUGCGAACUCGCGAGAGUAAGCUAAUCUCUUAAAGCCAUUCUCAGUUCGGAUUGUAGGCUGCAACUCGCCUACAUGAAGUCGGAAUCGCUAGUAAUCGCGGAUCAGCAUGCCGCGGUGAAUACGUUCCCGGGCCUUGUACACACCGCCCGUCACACCAUGAGAGUUUGUAACACCCAAAGUCGGUGGGGUAACCUUUUAGGA
rnacentral:rRNA from 1 species